UACGUAGGGGGCAAGCGUUGUCCGGAAUCAUUGGGCGUAAAGAGCGUGUAGGCGGCCCGGUAAGUCCGCUGUGAAAGUCCAGGGCUCAACCCUGGGAUGCCGGUGGAUACUGUCGGGCUCGAGUCCGGAAGAGGAGUGUGGAAUUCCUGGUGUAGCGGUGAAAUGCGCAGAUAUCAGGAGGAACACCAAUGGCGAAAGGCAGCACUCUGGGACGUGACUGACGGCUGAGACGCGAAAGCGUGGGGAGCAAACAGG
rnacentral:rRNA from 1 species